AUGGUAGUAUACAUUAAUAUAUUUCUAAAGAAAGUACGUGUUUAUAGGAUAACGGGGUCUAUUAAGCCUUCUGUGAGGAGGAGGUUGAGGCAGAAUCUCUCGUCGCGAACACGGCCAGCAGCGUCCGCGUGUGCCGGAGCAGGACAGUCGCGAACACGCCGCCUCCAGCAGCUUCUGCUGCGUGUGCCGGAGAAGGACAGUCGCGAACACGCCGCCUCCAGCAGCUUCUGCUGCGUGUGCCGGAGAAGGACAGUCGCGAACACGCCGCCUCCAGCAGCUUCUGCUGCGAGUGCCGGAGCAGGACAGUCGCGAACACGCCGCCUCCAGCAGCUUCUGCUGCGUGUGCCGGAGAAGGACAGUCGCGAACACGCCGCCUCCAGCAGCUUCUGCUGCGAGUGCCGGAGCAGGACAGUCGCGAACACGCCGCCUCCAGCAGCUUCUGCGACGUGUGCCGGAGAAGGACAGUCGCGAACACGCCGCCUCCAGCAGCUUCUGCUGCGUGUGCCGGAGAAGGACAGUCGCGAACACGCCGCCUCCAGCAGCUUCUGCUGCGAGUGCCGGAGCAGGACAGUCGCGAACACGCCGCCUCCAGCAGCUUCUGCGACGUGUGCCGGAGAAGGACAGUCGCGAACACGCCGCCUCCAGCAGCUUCUGCGACGUGUGCCGGAGAAGGACAGUCGCGAACACGCCGCCUCCAGCAGCUUCUGCGACGUGUGCCGGAGAAGGACAGUCGCGAACACGCCGCCUCCAGCAGCUUCUGCUGCGAGUGCAGGAGCAGGACAGUCGCGAACACGCCGCCUCCAGCAGCUUCUGCUGCGUGUGCCGGAGAAGGACAGUCGCGAACACGCCGCCUCCAGCAGCUUCUGCGACGUGUGCCGGAGAAGGACAGUCGCGAACACGCCGCCUCCAGCAGCUUCUGCUGCGAGUGCAGGAGCAGGACAGUCGCGAACACGCCGCCUCCAGCAGCUUCUGCUGCGUGUGCCGGAGCAGGACAGUCGCGAACACGCCGCCUCCAGCAGCUUCUGCUGCGUGUGCCGGAGCAGGACAGUCGCGAACACGCCGCCUCCAGCAGCUUCUGCUGCGUGUGCCGGAGAAGGACAGUCGCGAACACGCCACAUCCAGCAGCUUCUGCUGCGUGUGCCGGAGAAGGACAGUCGCGAACACGCCGCCUCCAGCAGCUUCUGCUGCGAGUGCAGGAGCAGGACAGUCGCGAACACGCCGCCUCCAGCAGCUUCUGCGACGUGUGCCGGAGAAGGACAGUCGCGAACACGCCGCCUCCAGCAGCUUCUGCUGCGAGUGCAGGAGCAGGACAGUCGCGAACACGCCGCCUCCAGCAGCUUCUGCUGCGUGUGCCGGAGCAGGACAGUCGCGAACACGCCGCCUCCAGCAGCUUCUGCUGCGUGUGCCGGAGCAGGACAGUCGCGAACACGCCGCCUCCAGCAGCUUCUGCUGCGUGUGCCGGAGAAGGACAGUCGCGAACACGCCACAUCCAGCAGCUUCUGCUGCGUGUGCCGGAGAAGGACAGUCGCGAACACGCCGCCUCCAGCAGCUUCUGCUGCGAGUGCAGGAGCAGGACAGUCGCGAACACGCCGCCUCCAGCAGCUUCUGCGACGUGUGCCGGAGAAGGACAGUCGACUGUUUGUGGGGAGACGCGUCUGGAGUCGGGCAGCAGCGGCAGGUAGCGCGUCCGUGUCGCUGUUAUCAGCCUCCGCAGCAUGA
ensembl:lncRNA